GAUGAAGAACGCAGCGAAAUGCGAUAAGUAAUGUGAAUUGCAGAAUUCCGUGAAUCAUCGAAUCUUUGAACACACAUUGCGCCCCCUGGCAUUCCGGGGGGCAUGCCUGUCCGAGCGUCAUUUCUGCCCUCCAGCCCGGCUGGGUGUUGGGCGCUGUCCCCCCGGGGACACGCCCCAAAGGCAGUGGCGGCGCCGCGUCGGGUCCUCGAGCGUAUGGGGCUUUGUCACCCGCUCGGGACGGACUCGUCGGCGCUGGUCUUCCUCCAGGCGACCCUUCGGGGCUCGUCUUCCUUCGGUUGACCUCGGAUCAGGUAGGGUUACCCGCUGAACUUAAGCAUAUCAAUAAGCGGAGGA
rnacentral:misc_RNA from 1 species